CUCAUCUGAGACGGUCAAGGUGGAUGAACACUUGCCAUCAACCACCAACACUGUAGAAAAGGAAUCAGAGGAUGAAAGCAGCAGGAAGAGAAGGAAGCAUGAGGAGAAGAGACAGGAAAAGCAUGAGAAGCGUGAGAGACACGAGAAGCGUGAGAGAUACGAGAAGCGUGAGAGACAUGAGAAGCGUGAGAGAUACGAGAAGCGUGAGAGACACGAGAAGCGUGAAUCUCAUGAUUCAUAUGAAAAGAAAAGACGGAGGAAGGAUAAGGAAAAGAGGAGGCACGAUUCCAACUCGGAUUGAACAUCUUCGUGACCACCAUCAUC
rnacentral:lncRNA from 1 species